CUGCGAAUAUUCUCGCUGUCCUGGUUUUGUGGUAGCCAGGGCAGGCUAACCGUUUGCUAUAUAAAAGACCAUGCAUGUGUCCCCAGGCUGAGUUCUUUCCCUGAGCCUGGUUUUAUAAAUGCUGGUGAUAAGU
rnacentral:snoRNA from 1 species